rnacentral:tRNA from 1 species
UUCCAGGUAGCUUAAUGGUAAAGCACCCAACCGGCAAUUGGGAGAUCUGGGUUCAAGUCCCAGCCCGGGCU